GUGCCAGCCGCCGCGGUAAUACGUAGGGUGCGAGCGUUAAUCGGAAUUACUGGGCGUAAAGCGUGCGCAGGCGGUUCGUUAAGUUCGUCGUGAAAGCCCCGGGCUCAACCUGGGAACUGCGAUGGAAACUGGCGGGCUCGAGUGUGGCAGAGGGGGGUGGAAUUCCACGUGUAGCAGUGAAAUGCGUAGAGAUGUGGAGGAACACCGAUGGCGAAGGCAACCCCCUGGGCUAACACUGACGCUCAGGCACGAAAGCGUGGGGAGCAAACAGGAUUAGAAACCCGUGUAGUCC
rnacentral:rRNA from 1 species